rnacentral:rRNA from 1 species
UACAGAGGUCUCAAGCGUUGUUCGGAUUCAUUGGGCGUAAAGGGUGCGUAGGUGGCGCUGUAAGUCGGGUGUGAAAUUUCGGAGCUUAACUCCGAAACUGCAUUCGAUACUGCGGUGCUUGAGGACUGGAGAGGAGACUGGAAUUCAUGGUGUAGCAGUGAAAUGCGUAGAUAUCUGGAGGAACACCGGUGGCGAAGGCGGCAUUCUGGACUGUAACUGACACUGAGGAACGAAAGCCAAGGGAGCAAACCGGG